GAGAGAGAGAGAGAGAGAGGAAGGUGGGCAGGGGAAGGGGUUAUGCAAGAAAGAUAUACUUCGUCAAAGUCUCAGAGGUAAAUUUUUAAUGUCUGAAAUCAUCUAUAAAUCCACUAUAUAAGUGUGAAAACGAGUCAAAUAAAUCUGUGGCAAAGUGGUCUCCAACUAUAAGAUAGCUUCUAGAUCAAACACACAAAAAUACUCUGUGCUUCAGCAAACAAUAAGUGUGCAUCAGCAAUUGCAAAACAAGAGUGAGAAAGGCCUUACCUUCGUUUUAAG
rnacentral:misc_RNA from 1 species